UACGUAGGUGGCAAGCGUUGUCCGGAUUUACUGGGCGUAAAGGGAGCGUAGGCGGAUACUUAAGUGGGAUGUGAAAUACCUGGGCUCAACCUGGGUGCUGCAUUCCAAACUGGGUGUCUAGAGUGUUGGAGAGGAAAGUGGAAUUCCUAGUGUAGCGGUGAAAUGCGUAGAGAUUAGGAAGAACACCAGUGGCGAAGGCGACUUUCUGGACAAUAACUGACGCUGAGGCUCGAAAGCGUGGGGAGCAAACAGGAUUAGAUACCCUGGUAGUCCACGCCGUAAACGAUGGGUGCUAGGUGUAGGAGGUAUCGACUCCUCCUGUGCCGCCGUUAACGCGAUAAGUACCCCGCCUGGGGAGUACGGUCGCAAGAUUAAA
rnacentral:rRNA from 1 species